rnacentral:lncRNA from 1 species
ACGUGACGGCGGGUGGGCACCCGCGCAGGGGCCGCUGGGAGUCCCGCGCUGCCUCCCCUGCCCCCGCGCCGGGGCCACGUCCCCCAGCCAGGUCCCUUCUUCCUGCCGUGUCCCCAGGGCAGGACCGCAUCGGAGAGAGUCCGGGAGGAGGCCGCGCUCCUGGGGGCUGGAGACCCGGCGGCGGUGGCCACUGCGCGCUGUUCCAGCCUUGAGGGAGGGAACCGCGGGCCUGGGUCCGCCUUGGGAUUUGGGAACCGGUUUCCUGCCGGGUUGACCUAACUUGAGCCUUCAGUAGUUCCGGGGCGGGUGUUGUGGUCUCCGUUCCAAAGUCGGGAAAACGGUAUCUGGGCUGGCGAAGGGCCGCGAGGGUGGUGGGAGGACCCUGUGGCUGCGCCGAACAGACCGCGGGAACCCACACUGAGUGGGGUGGGACGGGCUGCCACCCCGGCUUUGUCAGCCCCAUGCCCCCUUCUCGCCCUUCAUCCUCUGCUCCCUCACUUAGGCUCCAAUUCCUCCUGAUUUUGUUCUGUUUUUCCCUUCGGGCAUCCAAGGCAGCCACCUGCCCAGGCCUGGGCCUGUUCAAACACUGUCUCCGCUGUACUCCCUAGCUCCUUGAACCCCUACAUUGUCUGCAUUCAGGAAGUUUUGUGGCUUUUUAGGAUUUUUUUUAAACACAGGGUCUGGCUCUGUUGCCCAGGCCGGAGUGCAGUAGUGUGAUCAUAGCUCACUGUAACCUCGAACUCCUGGGCUCCAGCCAUAGGAAGCUUUUAAUAAAACAACCUUUGCUCCGACCGCACCCUGGCCUUGCUGGAUAAAGCCAGGCCUCUCUCUUGGGUUACAGCAGGCCCUUCAGGACUUGGCUGCCCCUCUCUGUUCCAGCUUCUCCUGAUGUUCCUCGCUCACCCCAGAACUCCUUUCCCAAAACUGAGGGAACUCCAGCUUGUCCUUAAGAUCUCAGCUCUGCCCAGUGGUCUCCUUAGACUGGGUGUGAGGGUCCCGCUGUGGACUCCCUGAGCUUAGGGAGAGGGCAGAUUUGUUCCUGCUCUCUCAGGCCCAGU